rnacentral:rRNA from 1 species
GACGAACGCUGGCGGCGUGCUUAACACAUGUAAGUCGAACGGAAAGGCCCUGCUUUUGUGGGGUGCUCGAGUGGCGAACGGGUGAGUAACACGUGAGUAACCUGCCCUUGACUUUGGGAUAACUUCAGGAAACUGGGGCUAAUACCGGAUAGGAGCUCCUGCUGCAUGGUGGGGGUUGGAAAGUUUCGGCGGUUGGGGAUGGACUCGCGGCUUAUCAGCUUGUUGGUGGGGUAGUGGCUUACCAAGGCUUUGACGGGUAGCCGGCCUGAGAGGGUGACCGGCCACAUUGGGACUGAGAUACGGCCCAGACUCCUACGGGAGGCAGCAGUGGGGAAUGUUGCACAAUGGGCGGAAGCCUGAUGCAGCAACGCCGCGUGCGGGAUGACGGCCUUCGGGUUGUAAACCGCUUUCGCCUGUGACGAAGCGUGAGUGACGGUAAUGGGUAAAGAAGCACCGGCUAACUACGU